rnacentral:lncRNA from 1 species
AGGAGAGCAGAGCGCGGGAGCUGUUUUCUCACGGGUUCCUGUCCCCGAGCCCGGUGGUGCUCGCUCUGAGCGCUCACGGACAGCUAAGGGCUUGGCUCUCUCGCGCUGUGACGAGCGCUGCCUGCCCGCUCCUCUUGCUCUGCCCCAUCCCCUGCAACAGACCACAAGGUACAAGACGAUGAUGAGACCGAGAGAACAGCCGCUCUCGGGUGUCUGUGACCCGCAAGGCGACCGCGGAGAGCACACACCGAUUGCCCCAUUCCUCGUAGGCAAUUAGCUGAUUGCUGCCCGCCCGCAGCCGCAGCCAGCGAGCGAGGAGCGCGCAGGAUCUCGCUGCCUGCCCACCUCUCCUGCAAACAGAGGCACGUUCUCUGACUUUGAUAGCUCCCUGGGUUCCCGUGAAAAACAACCGCCGCGUUGCCAGAGCGUGUUUCUCAAAUACCAGCAUCAGGGGAUCGCAGAAUUACAGCAACAAAUGUUACGAGGUAAUAUUUUCCAUAUAGACACGAGGAAAAAAAAUCCAAAUAGAACCAUUAAAUAAUAAUCUUCAUUAAACCCCAAACCAAACCAAACACAAUCAUUCUUAAAAGUGUAUUAAAAAGAAGGGGGGGGGGGUGAGCCUCAAAUGUUUUAAGAGAAGAUUAAUAAUUUGCUCAUUAAUUUGAUUGGAUAAUUACACACCAUUGGUCUUUCCGGAGUAGUGCACUUUUAAAAAAUUAUUAGAAAAGCCUUUUAGAUUUCUCCCAUGCAACAUACUCAUCAGGUGUGCAGAAAGCUUUUUAGCAUGCAAAAAAAUGAAUCACGAUAUUAGACAAUGUACUGAUGUUUUUUUUUCCCUAUAAGGAGACAGCCUUUCCUAAAACAUUAAUCUGCUGCAAAAAGAUGCUCCUAAUUUAGAAGAAAUUAGACUCAGAGUCUACUCAGCAAACACCUCUGCUAACGCUUCAUUAGUAUGUAUUUUCACAUAAUUCAAUUAGCCAAAACACAUACGCAUGCUAGCAGAGCUUUAGCUGCUCUGGGAGUGUCAGCAAGGCUUUAAGCAGAUCUGAAACAAAAUUGCAUAAAUGGCAUGUAAAGCUCUGUGCAUACAAAGAUACCUUCAGGGUUCUAAUAAAUUCAUGAAACUUUUUAAAGUAUGAUUUCCUAGCAGGCAAUCACUUUUAAUUAACAGGAUCACCUACAGCAACACAUGUCCUUCAAAAACUUACAUUAUUUUUUCUUUUUGAAUUUCAAAGUUUCUGUAGUAAAAGUUGAAUAGCUGAGUAGCUUAACCUCAAAAGGAUUCCAGGCUUUUAUGACAGUUAUAAAUCACUGUGGUGCCUUCUUUAUAAGAAGAAAAGAUUCUUAACACAACAGAGAAAGAAGGAAAUCUCUUUUUAGUCAUAGCUAGAAGCAAGCAUUUUCUCCAAAGGUCAAAAAACUUUUCCUCAGUUAAAGAAUAAUUUUAAGGACAUUGCAGCUACUUGUACAAGUAAUCUCUUGUAAUUUACUCUAUGAAUUAAACAUUCAAUUUCUAGGAUUGUGGUUUGACACAGGAUGGACUCCCCUCUUUUUCUGGAGCUAGCUUUGUAGAGUUUUCCCUCUUUUCAUUUUUUAGUAAACAUGGGCCAUGGCUGAAUGUAGGGUCUUAUACUUAAUGAGCCCUUCUCCUUGAGGAAAAUCAGAAUUUUGUAGAUUCGCCCAAAGAUUCAUUUGAGUGGUUCUUGCCAUUUCUUUUUCAGGCCUUUGUUUGAAAGAUAGGGAUAUGCUCAAAGGCUGUCUAGGGCUAAUGAUUAGGUUGCAGAAUCAGAAAAAGAGACUUUGACAAAUUUGAGAUGAAGAAUGAAGGACACUGAAAAGAAAACCUGUUCGCCUUCCCUCCUGUUGUCCUCAAGCAAAGUGGAUCAUUGUGGAAGGGUAACUGCAGCUCCAACAGGACACCUUGGUGGAGAGACUUGCACUAGUCGCUUUCUGCCUCCCUGCCAUAGCCCCUCAAACCCAGUAUUUUUUCUCUACCUUGUGAGACUCCCUUUGUUUUGUGAUUUUUCCCAAGUGCAGGAGAGUAAUCACUCAGCGGGACAUGUGGGGAGUGUAAUCAGGAUGGUGACUUCUGCCCUUCAGAAAGUUAUGAAGAGACAUGAUCAGGGGGCAAGGGAAGAGGGAUCAACCUUUGUUGGUGGUUUUAUAUCUAAGCACUUCUCUCCACCGCAGGGUAUUUCCUGAAGGCAGCCAACAUUUCUCAGGUGAUUGCAGAAGAUUUGGGGUUGGUCCACCACCUCUACAAGUGCUCCUCUCAAACCCAUUCUCCAUAUUGAAUUCAUUCAUUGAUAUAUAUUUUUUAGUUGUAGUUGGACACAAUACCUUUAAUUUUAUUUAUUUAUUUUUAUGUGGUGCUGAGGAUCAAACCCAGCACCUCGCACAUGCUAGGCGAGUGCUCUACCGCUGAUCCACAACCCCAGCCCUCAUUCAUUAAUUUUUUUUUAAAGAAAUUAGCCUAGCCAUAGACUUUAUUUAAUGUCAGGGAUGAAGAACUUUUUCAAAAUGUAAAUCUGACUACUAAAUGCCCAAAUUUGGAGCAAAACUCCUUUAUGAUCUUACUCUCUGCUUAUAUUUUCAGCUUUAACUUUUGCUCUCCUUUUACAUAUUUGAGUUCCUGCCAUAUGGGACUAUUGGGCUCUGCCCCCUCUACCAGGUUAUUUUCUUUAUCAUUUUUUUUUAAUGUGACUUUUUAGUCCCACACGUCUCCAAGGUACAGACCCUUCUAGGCUGUGUCAGCACACCUUCUGUCUAUGCUGGUGAAUAUUUAUUGAACACAUAAUCUGUAUUGGGUACUGUUCUGGAGACACAAUGAUGAAUAAGACAAACCUAUGUUCUAAUGGAGCUUAUAUUUUAGUGGAAAAGAAAUAUCAUAUAGCUACUCAAAUAAAUAAAUAGGAAAAUUUGUGACUGUGAUAAUUGUGAUGAAGGUAGGAGGCCAACUUCAGGCAGGUAUUGAGCUGGUCUCUGUGAGGAAUACAGAUCUGAACUGAGGUGUUGAAAAGGAACCAACCUGAGAAUAUCUAACAAAGCUCAUUUCUUUGCAGAAGAGAAACAAGCACAAAGUUCCUGAGAGAGGUAGGAGAUUGGUGUGUUGAAGACAGAAAGCCAGUGUUGAUAUUAUGUAUCAAGCAUGUCAUACUUUUCAGGACCUUCUCAACCUGGGGUCCUGAUAGCAGACCCAUCUGGUCUUCUUACUGAGCAUUAUAACUAAGACUUUACCAGAAAUAAAGUUGCUAUUUCUUUUCCUUCUUUUUAAAGUCAUAUAUGUUUAUUUAUUUUUUUAAAGAGAGAGAGAGAGAGAGAGAGAGAGAGAGAGAGAGAGAGAGGGAGGGAGGGAGAGAGAAUAUUUAUUUUUGUUUAGUUCUCUGCGGACACAACAUCUUUGUUUGUAUGUGGUGCUGAGGAUCGAACCCAGGCCGCACGCAUGCCAGGCGAGCGCGCUACCGCUUGAGCCCCAUCCCCAGCCCAAGUCAUAUAUGUUUAAAGUAUAGAUAUGAUGUUUUCACACCACAUACACAGAGCAAUGAUUUCUGCAGUUAAACAAAUUAUCCAUCAUCUUUACAUAGUUACCUUUUAUUUAUUUAUUUAGUGGUUAAAGUACCUAAAAUCGACUCUAUUAGCAAAUUUCCAGUAUAUAAGACAGAAUUAACAACUAUAGUCCUCAUCUUGACUGAUGGAUACCUAGACUUAUUUAUCCCAUAUAUCUGAAAUUUUAUUUCUCAGUUUGAAAUAAGGCAGGGUAGAGGGGUGUCAUUUAUUGGUUUCCUCAAAAACUUCAGCAUUAAUACAUUUGUCUUUUUUUUCCCCCACUGUAGUUUGUUUAUUUACUUCACAGAGUUUCUUUACUCUUAUUGUUUGGAUGUGAGGUGUCCCCCGCAAAAGCUCACAUGAGAGACAAUGCAAGAUGGUUCAGAGGGGGAGAUGAUUGGCUUGUGCGAGCCUUAACCCAACCAGUGAAUUAAUCACCUGAUGGGAUUAAUUGAAUGAAGAUUGGAGGCAGGUGGGGUGUGGUUGGAGGAGGUGGGUCAUUGGGGGUUUAUAUUUUGUAUCUAGCAAGCGGAAUCUCUUUCUCUGCUUUCUGAUCAUUGCAUGAGCUACUUCCCUCCACCACACUCUUCUGCGGUGAUGUUCUGCCUCACCUUGAGACCUGAGGAAUGGAACCUGCUGUCUAUUCGUUAAGACUGCUAAAACCGUGAGCCCCCAGAUAAACUUUUCCUCCUCUGAUAUUGUUCUGGUCAGGUCUUUUAUUCACAGGGGUGAAAAAGCUGAUUAAAACAUUUAACAUGCCAAACUUUUUAUUUUUUAUGAAGUCAAAUUUACUGUUUUUUUCAUUUAUAGUCAUAUUUCUUUUAUAGGUCAUAAUUAAGUUUUUCUCAUUCUAAAAUUUAAAGUUUCUCAUUUUUUUUCUAGUACUUUUAAGGUUUCAUUUUUUUCUUCUUUGCAUUUAGAUCUUUGAUCUUUCUGGCAUUUUUUUUGGGGGGGGGGUAUAAUAUGGUAGAGAUCCUAAUUUCUUUUUAAAGUGCCUAUACAGUUGUCUUGAAAUUUUUAUUGAAUAGUCUAUCUUUUUUCCUAAGUCUGAGGUAACUUUAUUAAGAAUUACAGUUUUUUUUUUUUUUUCUGGGUGCAAUGCAUCCCUGUAACCCCAGCGACUCAGGAGGCUGAGGCAGGAGGCUUCCAAGUUCAAAGCCAGAAUUGCCAACUUAGCGAGGCCCUAAGCAACUUAGUGAGACCUCUGGGGAUGUGACUCAAUGGUAAAGUACCCCUAGAUUAAAUCCCUAGUACCAUACCCCCCAAAACUGCAUUGGGGGGCACUACAUUUGGCUGUUCAUGUGUGGGCUUAAUCAUUUGCCAUUUAUUCAGCUAUUUGAAUUACUGUAUCUUCAUAAUAUUUCAUAUCUGACAGGGUAAGUCACUCUUGUUUUUUUUCCCUUGUAUAGUUUUCUGAUGUAUUUAUGUAUGUUUACAUUUUGGUUUGAAAUUGCCUUCAUUUUGCACUUAAUGGUUUCUGUCUACAGUUACAGCUUGAUGGCUAGUUCCCCUCAGCAUGGUGGAAGAUAUAGUUCCACUGAGUUUUGGCUUCCAUUGUUGGGGUUAAAAGCAUGCUGUCAGCUGGGCAUAGUGGUACAUGCCUGUAAUCCUAGAGAUCCUGAAGCAGGAGGAUGGUGAAUUCAAACCAGUCUCAGCAACUUAGAGAGGCCUUAAGUGACUCAGCAAGACCCUGUCUCUAAUAAAAUAUAAAAAAGGGCUAGAGAUGUGGCUUGGUGGUUAAGUGCCCCUGGGUUCAAUCCCUGGUACCAAACAAACAAACAAAACCCAAAACAUGUCUCAUCAUUCCUUUGUGACUCAUCUAGCUUUUCUGAUUUUUUUAAACAUUUAUUUAUUCUCUGAUUGCUUUUAAGAAUUUCUCUUUGUCUGAUGUUAUAUAACAUGUCUACUUGAGAAUUUCUUAUUGCUUGGUGCUUGUUGUGAUUCCCAAAUCUGAGCAUUCUAUUAUCAUUCUAUUAUUGGAAGUACUCAUUUCCGUCUCUGUAAUAUUGUCUCUACUCUUUUCUUCUGAUAUAAAUGGAGGUAUAUAUGUGACCUUGUCAUUUUGUCUCUCAUACUAUUGAUCUCUCCAUGGUUUCCCUCUGCUCUACUUCUAAACACCAGAGUGCUCCAGGACUCAAUCACUCUCCUUUCUCUUCCUUGGCAAAUUCAUCCAUCUUAUGGAUUUCACACCAUUUCCAUGCUGAUGACUCUUAGAUUUUAUUUUCUGCUUUUUCUUUGCUCCCUUCUGACUUAUGCAUUUAUUUGCCUCCUUGCUAUUUCCAUUGAAAGUCUCAGAAUGCAGCUGCCUAUUCCUCUAGUCUGCUCUUAUUUCAGAAAAUGACACCGUUUUCAUCCUGUAGUUCAUACCACAAACCUGAGUCAUGUCUUUCCAUCUUCUUUAACUCUAUACCCAACCAGUGAGACGUUAUGUCUUUUAAACUUUUAAAAGCUUUUGUUAUACCUUUCAAACUUUUAAAAGAAUAUUGAAGUUGUCCUUUUCACUUAGUUUUUUUUUUUUUUUUUAAAUCACUACUCUCAUCCAAAUCACCCUUGUCUAUCAUUUAGACUUCUGUGCUAGCUCUAACUAGGCUUCCUGCAUGCAUUUAUUUCCCUGGGCAAUCCUUUCUCCCCUCAAAGAUUUUCUUUAAAUGUAAAUGAAAUUGUGCCCUUGUUAAAAAAAAAAAAACCUGUUAACACCUGGCCGAAGUCUGGCUGGGCACAAAAUCACGAGCCACUCAAGCAGGAACAAACUUUAUUUCUGAAACUCCCGCCAAUGCCACGCACGCAGGCUCCCGGGAAAUAUGCCGAACCACCCACGCAGCGUUCUCCCAGGCCACACUACACCAACAGGAAAAUCCCUCCUCCGGAAAUCCCUCCUCCCGCACUUCCCCAACCAAUGGGAACUCUCCGGGAGUCCCGCUAGAGCUCCAAAGUAGCAGGCCAAGGAGGACAGCAGGAGUCUAAUAUCCAAUUGAAUACAGAUCUUAACAUAAUCUUAUCAUCUCAAUGGCUUGCUGGUAUCACCUUUCAACCAAAAAUGCCAUGCAUCAUUUCUACUUGGCUAUGGCUCUCAGCAACACCUUCCUUUUAUUUUGUAAAAAUCUACGUGGUCUGAUCCUAUACUCAAUUUCUUCAACAUCAUUUCAUAUCAUUUUGCUCCUUUAUUACCACAUUGGAAACAUAAGAUGUGUAAGAUAGUUAUCUAUAAAAUGGCUAUCUUUGUUACAGAUUAUAUAUAUAUAUCCAGAAGUGUAUUUUGUCUUAUAUUAAUGUAGCUAUUCUACCUUUAUUCUAAUUUGGUAUAUGCCUAGUAUGUAUUUUUUACCUAUUUCUUCUUUAUAUUUAAAGUAUAUGUCUUAUAAUAGGCACACCGUGGGGUCCUGCUUUUCUUUUUUUUUUCUUUUCUUUCAGGAUGACAAUCUCUUUCUUUUAAUUGGAGCAGUUAGAACAUUUACAUUUAAUGGAUUGCUUGGUGAAGUUGUUUUAACUUAUCAUCUUAGUAUUUGUUUUCUAUUUGUCUUUUUUUCUCUCUGCUCUUCCUCUCUUUCUGUUUUCUCUUUCAAGGAAUUAGCUAUUUUCAAAUAUUUCAUGUUAUCUUCCUUGUUGUGUGUUAGCUACACUUCAUUUGGUUUUUAAUGGCUCCUUUGGGGUUUGCUCUUUGUAUUUUUAACUUAUCACAGUUAAACUUUGUGUUAGUUGGCUUUUAGUUGCUGUGUAAAAUUCCUGACACAAACAACUUGGAGGAGGAAAAUUUAUUUUGGCCCAUCGUCAUUUCAGAGAUUGGAGUCCUUGAUCAGUCAGCUCCAUUGCUCUGAGCCUGAGGUGAGGUAGAACAUCAAGGCAGAAGGGUAAAUCUGCUCUGCUUGUGGGAACAAGAAUGGGUGGUGGUGGGGGACCAGAGAGAAAAGAUAAACUCUUCCAGGUCACAUCCCUAGUGACCUACUUCCUUGAAUUAGGUCCCACCCAUCUCCUGGUAGCUAUUCAGCCAUGAAUGCAUUAAUCCACUGAAGAGGGCAGAACCUUCAUGAUCCAAUCAUUUCCCCAAAGCUCCACCUCUGCACAGGUGAGAUUUUGGGGGACAUUCCAGGUCCAAAGCAUAACAAACUAUAAAUAUAUAAACUAUAAACUAUAAACUAUCUUACCACUUCAUGCUUAGAAACUUGUAAUAAUGUACUUUCUUAUCCUAUUAUUUUUGACAUAAACUGUGUUCUUUACAUAUGCCAUAAGUACCAUAAUAUGUUUUUUUUAGAUGUUGAUGGACUUUUAUUUUAUUCAUUUAUUUAUAUGUGGUACUGAGAAUCGAACCCAGUGCCUCACAAAUGCUAGGCAAGCACUCUGCCACUGAGCCAAAACCCUGGCCCCCUGGUUUUAUUUUUUAAUAAAUAAUUACAUAAGGGGCUGGGGUUGUGGCUCAGUGGUAGAGCCUAGCAUUUGUGAGGCACUGGGUUCAAUUCUCAGCACCACAUAUAAAUAAAUGAAUAAAAUAAAGGUCUAUCAACAUCUGAAAAAGAUUUAAAGAAAUAAUUAUGCAAACAUGUAAUUAUUAAAAAAUAAUAAGAGUGUUUUAUAUUAACUUAAUAUUUAUCAUUUCCAAUGCCCUUUAUUCCUUUAAUUUGAGAUACUUCCUAUUGCUUUUCUCAAAAUAUUUAUUUUCUUUUCUUUUAAUUUUUUUUUUUAGUUGUAGAUGGGCACAAUAGUUUAUUUACUUAUUUAUUUUUAUGUGGUGCUGAGGAUUGAACCCAGAGCCUCAUACCUGGGAGACAAGUGCUUUACCACUGAGCUACAGCCUCAGCCCCUUUAUGUUCAUUUUGGAUGGAUAUUUUUACUGGGUAUAGAAUUCCAGGCUGGCUUUUUUUUUUUUUUUAAUUCCUCAGGACUUCAAAGAUUUAUUAUGUUGUCUUCUAGCUUUAAUUGUUUCUGAUAGGAAGUUUGACAUUCUUAUCUUUAUUCUCCUGUGUGUGAUAUAUUUUUUCCAUUGGUGACUUUUUAUGAUUUCCUUUUUUUCACUUGUUUAUAUCACUUUGAUAAUGAUGUGGCUUGAUGUGGUUUUCUUAUUGAAAAAAUAAUAAAACUUCUGCUUGAAGUUUUUUUUCUUGAUCUCUAGGUUUCUUGCUUUCAAGUUUUGAAAAUUUCUGAUCACCAUUUCUACAAAUAAUUUUUCCCUUCUCUGGUAUUUCAGUAUACAUAUGUUACACUACUGAUAUAAUGUUAUAGUCACUGAAACCCCUUUGUUUGAUUUUGGAUAGUUCACACUGAUCUGUCCUCAAGUUUACUGACUUUAUUUAAAUAGUGUUCAACCUUUAAUCUUUGAUAACUUUAUCCACUGAAUUUUCCAUUUGAGAUAUAUUUUUUUCACGACAGAAGUUUCAUUUAGUUAUUUAUUUUACUAUCUUCCACUCUUCAUUAUGUCUACAUCUUCCCCUAAAUUCUUUGGCAUACUUAUAAUAGCUGUUUUCAAUAUUCUUGUUUAUUAAUUUCAUCAUCUCUGUCAUUUCUGUAUCAAUUUCUAUUGACUUAUUUUCCUUCUAAUUAUCAGUCACAUUUUUUUCUGCUACUUAUCAUGUGUGGUAUUUUUGAUUGGGUGCUGGACAUUGUGACCCUUACAUUGUUGAAUGUCUAUAGAGUUUAUUGUUCUACAUUUGUAUAGAAUUAAGGUAAUUAAAUUAAUUAAAGACCAGCUUUCUUUUUUUGACCUUACUUAAAGCUUUUAAAGGACUAGUCUAGAGUAAUUUCUAUUCUACUUAGAGCUAAAUUAAGUAGCUCUGGAAUCUCUGCUGAAUGAACCAGUCUCUCCAUUUUAGCCAGUUAGACCUUGAACUCCUUUUAGUAUUGUGUAAUUUGCAAAAGGUGUUUUCAACUACAGCUCCUAGUUGUUCCUUGUUUGGCCUUGUGGAUUUUCAUUUUGUGUAUUAAUAGCAUAUUCUUCAGUGAAAAGUUCAGAAAGUCUCCUACACAUAUUUUACCAAAUUGCACCUCUUUGGUCCUCUACUCUAUAAAUUCUGGGUGACUAUGGUUCAUCAAACUCUUUUCUUUUCCUUUUCCAUUCAGGGUUAUUUCCAGAUUCAACUUUGGUACCUCUUCCUUGUGCUGAAGUUCAGAAAAUGCCCCCCCACCCCCCUGUAGUAAUCUGGGAUGAAAAAAAUCCAAGAUGACAUAUUGGCAUGUGGCAGAGCCCACAUUCAAGCCUAAGUCUCCGAGUCUCUAGAGCCCGUGUUCUCUUUCCUAGGGAUGUUGCAGAGCAAGUCACCCUGGUUUUCUGGGCUGCAGGAUUCAGAGGCCACAUAAGUGAAAUGCCUUUCAAUCUGAAUAAAAAUGACUGUGAAUUAACCAAGGCUCACUGGCCAAAGCAGAUGAAAGAACUGAGUUUGUAGACAAUCAGUAAGGGAGAAAAAAAUAGUAGAAGGAGUAUGAACAUACAUGAUCAUUGCACCAGAUUACUUUUCAGUUUUAUAAUUGUUUUUGUUUUAUAUUGUUUUGGUUUUUUUGUUUGUUUUUACCUUGACUGAUAGGUAGCAAUAGUACAUUAAUCUGGCAGGUUGUCAAAAGUGGUGCUAUAGAUGUUAGCUUGGCAGAUCAAAACAUUUUCAUCCAAAACUGUUUCUUCCCAAAGCAUAUAAUACAAUGAUCCUUCUUUGAUGUUCACUAACAAUAUGUAGAUUCUACUAGAAAUCAUUAAUUUUAUUUCUCUAUAGUUCCUUUUGCUUUCUAUUUUUAGAGUGGCUGACCAAACUAAUAAAAACUGCAAUAAGUCAGGCAUCCCUGGUUGGAAAAUUCUAAAAAUAGCAAAAACAGCUGUGCUCAAGUUUGCUCUUGUUCUAUUUGUGAAGGAUUUGUCAAGCAGGUAGAAGUAUCCAUUCUUUUAAUUGGAUGUACUUAUUUCAGAUGAUGUUUAUCUAUUCCUUAAAACCAUUACUCAAAUGAUUUCUACUUGAAAAUUUCACUGAAAGCAAACUAUGAAGGUAUAAUUUUGUAAUAUUCUUGCAUGAAGAGUUUUCACUAGGUCAUAUUGGCCUUCCUCCCUGUUCACAUCAUGUUCUAGUGCUUGGUUAUAUUUAGAGACUUGCAGAAUUGAUUUUUACUUGCAUUAUAGCAUAGCUCAUCUCCAACUGCUGUCACCUCCCAGACAAAACUUAUUUCUUCUAUAGGAGGAAGCUGGUUUCCUAAAGGGUACCAUGAGCUUUCAGAGUUUUGUUUUAUUAGCUGUUGCUGCAAGUACCACAUGGGUAGAGGCUGGGAGUGUUCUACCUCAGCAGAGGCUGUCCCCUGCUCCCCAUUUCUGCCCUUCUACAAUUACUUUAUUCAGUGUCACAGUAGGACUCACCUACUGUUGUUGAUGAAUGACAAGCUUUUCAGGACUUUACUGUUAGGAAUUUUAAAGGGAUCUGAGUAAGAGAGAUUUAUUUGACUUUUCAAACUACUUAGCAAAGACAACAAGUUUGUAAACAGAUACCUGAACAUCCAAAGUUAAACUUGUUAUCAGAAACAAUUGGGCAAGAUAUUUAAAAAGAAAAAAAAAGUAGAGAUCAGUGCAAAUAUUAACAUUGGUUUCUCCUUGCAAACUCUGGAGAAAUUAUUGAGGGAACACUUUCUAAAUGUAGUUGCCUAUGCUCAAGGUCACAUCAUACAUAUCUGGCAACUAUGCUCGUGCUUUCAGAUCUCUUGGGUUUUACCUCUGUAAGGACUCUCAAAUUGUGGUGAAAUUGAAUGUGGAGCUUUUAUGGAUGAAUACUAAUUUAAGCAAUGUUGUAUGUGAUGAACUGUUAUCUAGCAGGAUGGUGAUCAGUUGUCUAUUGCUGCAUAACAAACCAUUCCAAAAAGUUGUGCUUUAAGACAACGAUUUAUUAUUUCUCAUGAUUCUAUAGUACACUGGGGUGGUCCUUUUGUGCUCCAAGUGGUUUGAUUGAGGAUCCCUUGUGUGCUUGUGUCUUUUAGGUUCUGGACUUCUUCACAGCAAAGAAGAGAAAGAAGUUAGCAGCUACCAAGCAUAAGAUAGGUCUGCAAAUGGCACAUUUAUUCCACUGAAGUCUGUUGGUUAGAUUAAGUCACAUGGCCAGUUCAGGAUUCAAAGGGAGAGUAACUAGACUCCAUCUCUAGAUAGGAAGAGCAACACCUGCACAGACUAUGGAGAGAGGCCAUCUUUGGAAGCUAUCUAACAUAUACACCAUCCCUCCUAGUGUCUCCCCAUUGUCCUUCAAUAAUUACUAGUACCUUCCUGUACUCUGACAAUAGUCUUUGUGUGUAUUAUAAAUUAUAUGGUUGCACUACCCAUAAAAUACCUUCUAAUAUGCCACAUUACAAAUUUUAACUAGUAAGACUGUUGUACCAUGGAGUGAGGCCAAGACUCCCUCUUGGUUUAAUAUCUAGCAAGGUUUUUUCCUCAAACAAGCACAAUAAUGGUUUUGCAAGUCAGUCUUUGUAUUUCUGGGUCAGCUGCUUGCUGUAUGGCAUUUGUGAAGAGGACUUUGUAUCUGUGCAGCCUAGACAGAAAAAGAUAAUGAUCCUCUCUUCUCUAUCUCUCUGAGGCAUUUUAAGUUAUUUAUAUCAAAAAUUUCCUAGCAGCAGACAGACACAGCAGAACUGGAGCACAGCACACUUUGUGAUUGUGUAGGUUUUAGCUAUGUUCAAAUCACCUGCAACAUAACUAAAGGAUAAAGAUUUAAGGAAGUUCUCUGGGCUGGGCACAUGUAAAACUGUGACCAAGUAGACCAAGACUGUGUUAAUAUCUUAGUCUCUCCAUCUCCUCUUUUUCAAUCUUCUAGGCCCUUUGACUGUAUCCCUGUACAUAGUACUUGUUUGUCAUCCCUCACUUGUUGUGAAAUUUUGUACAAAGAUUACCCAGGUAUGAUGUAUCAGUCUCUUCCCAGGCACCUGAUACAGCCUCAUCCUCUCCUGAUAAAUGGCAACCUUUGCUCAAUAUGUCUACUGUCCUUAAUUUGGGAAUAGAUGAACACUUCAAUAUUUAAGAUGGAAAUGUCUGUAAAUGUGUUCUGUCUUCAAGGCACAUGGUUCUAAUUUUGAUAGUAGAUUUCUUCUGAUGAGUGCUAAUGUUCCUUAAUGUUCCUCAUUAACCUGUAAUUCAAGGGCAAUUUCUUAGCAUUGAUUACUACUUUCUUAAGGGCUAGGGGUGUGGCUCAGUGGUAAAACAUUUGCCUCACAUGUGUGAGGCACUGGAUUUAAUUCUCAGCACCGCAUAUAAAUAAAUGAAUGAAAUAAAGUUCCAUCAACAACUAAAAAUAUAUAUUUAAAAAAAUACCUUCUUAAACUCUUUCUUCUCCAUUACUCUGUAAGAACGCAGGUCUUCUUCCUAUCAGUGAGUGUCCUCUGUGCCUCCCUACAUUCCUUGGUCUCUCUCAUUUCACUGUCUCAAUCUGCUUUUUCCUCUCCUUCACCUUUAGGUACCCUACACCCUAUAAUCCUGCCUGAAAACCUUUAGUAGGAAGCCAUAUCCCCACCUUUAGAAGGGGUCUAGAAUUAACUUUAUUGUCUUAAUGUGGGUAGCUGCUGUUAACCCAUAUGUUUAGCCUCCACUCAGGUUUAUAUUAUAGAGAAGUGCAGUUUGUGGACUGUCUGGUAUCAGUCUGUAAAAUAUUUGUAGCUGGAUCUUGAGGAGAGAAGUAUAGACAUUGAAAGUCAAUAUGCCUCUAUCUGGCAUUUCUUCAGGCUCUGGAAUUUAUUGCCACAAGACCAAAUCUCUUCUACUUGCUCUUCAUAUUGAAGAACUUAAUGCAAUGAUGUAUAUGUGUUUAAAAAUGAAACAAAUGUUAACUAUCUAGAAUGGAGAAUUCAAAAUGACAUGAUCAAUGGUACUGAUAGAUUAUAUUAUUUAUUCCUAGUUAUUUGAUUCCUCCCCUUCAUUGUGAUGCAUUGUUGAAGGCAUGAUAAAUUCCUUACCCCUCUAACCUAGAAUUUGGCCAUAUGACUCACUUUUGUCUAUGGAUAUGACUGUCAUAAAAUCCAAGCUGAAACUUUAAAUGUGCUUCUGUGACUUGUCUUUACCUCCCCGUUGAUCUUAUGCUCUCUCCUAUGGGGAAAACAUGCUGAAGUAGUGGGUGGUCCUUCAUCCUGGGCCUCAGGUAGGCAAGAUCUGUCAGGCCAAUCAGAAUCCCACUGGAUCCCUGAAGAACCUGUGGAGCCAGUAGAACUCAGCAGAACUGUUCUAAUCCAUAGGCCUCAAGCAACAUGGGCAAGAAAUCAGUGCCAGUUGUUAAAAGCUACAGAUUUUUUUUUUUUUGUGGUUGGUAUAACAACAAAAGCUGAUUAAUAUAGGAGGUGGUAUCAAGAGUGGGUUUUACCAUAACAAAACCUUCAGAGAUGUGUCAUUGCUUCAGGUAUUGAGCAAAUUAUAAUAGGGAUCUGGAAAAACAACAACCACAGUGUGCAUUAAUGAAACACUUGGCAAAACUAUCCUAGGUGGAUAGUUUGGUACCCAUUGAGUUUGUGGUUUUGUGUCACAGGGCUUUGAGACAGAAUGUUGUGGGUGAUUAUUACCUGCAUUUGAUCAGAAACUAUGAAAAUGAUAAGCUGAGAAAAGAAUUGCCCUGUUUACAAUGAGGAAUGAAAGGGGAAAGGGAGAACAAAAAAAUUCUGGGAUUUGCUGAUUUAAUAUAUGCUACUGCUUUGCCCCCGCCCCCGAUCCCCCAAACAAAAACAAAAACAAAAAACAAUUUCUCAUUUUAACAAAUAACCUGAGGGCAAGGGAAUGUAGCCGCUAAAACAGCCUGGGAAUAGGACCAAAUCAGAUCCAUGGCUCACACCUCUGGUUCAGAUGUUUGAUUGGAUUAAUAACGUGGCUCCCAGUGAAUUAUUUCAGUUGGACAAAAUAGCUUAGAGCAAAAAAGGAGGGCACGGUCCCACUGAGGUCUGACAAGCUAAAGGUUCCUGUAAUUAAGGGAGGAAAGUACACCAGAGAGGGAGGUACAUGAGUUGAAAAUAAUUGUGCAUGUGGCUAUUAACAUAGAAGUAGACUAGAAUCAAAUAGAUUAAAAAAUAAGCAAACCAAACACUCCAACAUUUAAAAUAGGCCUAUGUUACCAAAAGUGCUUUUAGCAUGGACUAACAUACUUCACUGUGAUGUAAGAUAACUUUGUAGGGACAGGAAGCAGGGUUAGGAAGCUGCUUGACCACCAGGAGAUGGUAUUUUCCAAUGCCCUUUUCCAAUAUGGCUAAGGAUGGAAAUAAAAGAGAAUGGAACUCCUGCAGAGUGGAGGAAGUAGAUGGGGGCAGUGCUCCCAGGGAAUGGGAGUGGGCCCUGGAACAUUUUCUACCUGCAGUAUUUUCUCAGUGAGAUUUCAGAAUAGCUGUGAACUGGUGCUUUCCAUUCCUCUCCUUCUGAACAGAAGUAUUCAUUGAGGUUUCCUGUUCUUGACUUACUGCUGCAUGCUGAAUGUGCAUAUGGAGGUAGGAAAGGGAGCACUGAUUUGUCUUUUAAAUUCACAGGUCUCCAGAUAAAAAGAAGAUGCAACCUGAUUUAAUGGACACUAAGGGAUCCUAGGCUUGAAGCCCAAAGAAUUGAUUGGAUGGGACUUUGGUUCUCAGGAAGAAAGCAAAUAUUUGUGAUCAAGAGCAUGGUCUUGUACUGUUUGUUUAUAAUUAUUCAUGCUUUCCCUGCCCUUGAUUUGCUUUCCUCUAGUUGGAAUAUACUUUUCUACCCUAUUGACUUCUGGGUUGGCCCGGUGUUUUUCUGGGCAGGGGAACGUGACUGGACAUGAUAUAUGCUUGUCCAAGCAGAAGUUUUAAAUAUGCCUAUAUGGUUUGGCUUGUCUCUAUCAAUCAAUGAUUUUCUACUUCUUCUAUGAGAACCACAGGCCCUAGAUCAUGGGUGCUCCUUCAUCCUGGGUCCUGAAAUGUGAAGAUAUGUGGACUCAAUUGGAGCUCAGAGGAGUCCAGAACAGUUUAGAGAGGCCCACUCUUUUCACAGUUCUACCUAAGAUCUCAGUGAGCAAAAAUAAGUGUUUAUUCUUGGAAGGCAUUGAGAAGUGGGGGCUAUUUGUUAUUGCAGUAAAACCUGACUAUUGCAAAGGUAUUAUAAAAUAGGAGAAGAAAUUAUGCAUGAAAUGGGAAAUAUUAUGCACUAGAUUGUGCAAGUGACCAAAAUGAUGUUGAAAUAGAGCAUUUAUUGCAUAUAAUUUUGGAAAGAAAAUAAAGAAAUCAAAAUAAAUGAAAAUUCCAGUUUUUACAUUUGAGAUAAUUUUAUAAUUGAAGAAAGGCAGAAAACAUCUUUCAAAGUUAGGCACUGAUUUAAGAAUGUCAAGAGCAAGCCUGUAGUAAUGGCACUAAAGUGGUUGAUUAGAGAAAAAUGAACAUGGCAGUGGAAGUAGAUACAUUCUUUACGUCACAUUAUGUGCAUAUUUUAAAUUUGUUACCAGGAGACAUGACAUCAACUGAUAAUGAUGAUAUUUUUUGUAACACUUCAAAGAUCAUGUGCCCUCUUCUCUAGAUCUGCCUAAAUAUGAAACAUAUAAAAUUUGACCUUAAAUCUACUCGAAGAUGAAUAAGAGACUGUUAACUAAAUGCUGUUAGAGCAAUUAGAUUUAACUUACAUAAGAUAAGAGAUUCACCAGUUAAGAAAAAUGAUAGAAAAUUCAAAAGGAGACUGUAGAUGUUGGUAGAAAAUGAAAUUAAUUGAAUUUGUGCUACACAUGGUUAUUUGGUAUAAACUCUAAGUUGCUGUAUAAUGUCAUAAAAGAUUACAAAACACUCAAAUAGUUCUAAGCUUGGUUAUUUCAUUUACAAAAAUGGCUUAAAAUACUUUUAAGUUAUAUAGAGAGAUUUUUUUAUAUUUAAAGGAGUCAUGUGUGAUAUAUGCAAAAGCAAAAUUAAACAUAAAUAAAAAAUAUUAAAGCAAAAACAAGGAAAGAAAAACAUUUAUAUGACCACAGAAAAGAAGCUACAAGAAGUAGUCUCAAAUGAAAAGAGAUUUUUAGUAAAUUGAAUAGCAUAAUGCAAAAUUUUUGGCUUUUUUCCUUAAAUAGUCAAACCCUGAAAAAAAUUGAAAGGACAUGGGAAAUACUGUAUCACUCUAGAUACUGCUCUAAGAGAUAAUGAAAUCACAAUAUGAGUGAUAAUUUAUAUGAUAAACAUCCAAUACUUCCUAAUAUUUUCUGAAAUGAAGGUAAUCUUCAUAUAUGACUCCAUUAAUGUAAAACUCAUGGUGUGUUACUGAAUCUAAGUAUUGUUUUUUCUACUGACAAUUCCACUUCCUAUUGAAAAGUCUCUCCAAAUUGAAAUUAAUAAAAUGAUUAUUUCUCAAUGGUUUAAGAAAAAUUAAUAAAUUUGGUAUCACCGAGGACAGAACACAGAUUACGUGAAAUUUUUUAUCAUAAUGUUAUUAGUGA